rnacentral:rRNA from 1 species
GGAUCAAUUUGCUUGUCGUGCAUCUGGUACGUACUGGUAUUAUUGGUUUCUCCCUUCUGACGAACCAUGAUGUCAUUUAUUUGGUGUUGUGGGGAAUCAGGACUGUUACUUUGAAAAAAUUAGAGUGUUUAAAGCAGGCUCACGCUUGAAUACAUUAGCAUGAAUAAUGAAAUAGGACAUUUGAUUCUAUUUUGUUGGUUUCUAGGAUCGACGUA